ensembl:miRNA MIR7156 microRNA 7156
UUGUUCUCAAACUGGCUGUCAGAGUGUGCAUGGCAGGCUGCAGCCACUUGGGGAACUGGU